UAAGAGAGGAGGCAUCUGACAUUCUCCUUGUAAAGAAACAAUGGGUGUUGUUCUCAUAGCACCAGUGACUGUGCGAAGAUUUUUAUUUUGUAAAAUUUCUAAUUUAUUAACUAAUUUUUUGUUUUCAGCAUAACACAAGAAAGCAUACUCAAAGUGGCUUCUCACCAGAGACUUAUAAAGCAUCAGUAAUAUCUUUGGAUCAGCACCCCAGCUUGUACCAGCCAAGGCUUUUAAGGAAAAUUCAGGAAUCUCAGCUCCUGUGCAAGAAUGUGAUGGUUAACAUUGUUAAAUGCUCCAACAAUGUCUACAAAAAUAGCCACAAGUACUUGAUGAUUACGAAUAGAAUUAAAAAUAUCAAGAUGAAGAUGUGCUAUACUCUCCCUGGCUGACUUCCCACGUCGAAACCCGAACUGGUUUGAAGGAAAAUGAUAACUACCCAACGCAUCGUCAUGAACACCCCACUCGCAGGCAGCAGCCAGGGAGGGGGAAACCAGAGUCAGAUCAAGAGCAUUUUGCCGCCAUGUGUUAGAUCCUACAGUAGUUAAUCUGCCAUCAUUUAGCAGUACUAAAUUAUUAUCAUCUAUACAUUUAAGAAGAACAUCACCUCUGUUAUCAACAGAAGAACAACCCCAAACAGAAUGGUGCGCAUUAAAAUCACCAGCAAUAAAUACUGGUUCUGGAAGACUGUUAAAAAGAGCAUUGAGUGAAGUUUUUGUGAAAUUUGGAGAAUUAGGAGGACUAUAAUAACUAAGAAAAGUAAUUUGUUUAGAGCCAAAAUAUAAACGUAAUGCUAUAUUUUGAUUAGAAUCAUCAUAUGUAGUACUUAUAUGCUGAUAAUGUAGCUGAUUGUUAAUAAGUAUAGCAACACCAUUGUGAUUAUUGCCUGAAUCCAAUCUAAUUAUGUUAUAACCAUUUAUUUUAAAACAUUGUGUAGCUUUUAACCAAGUUUCACUGAUAAGAGCAAUAUGGAUAUUAUUGUCAUAUAAAAACUGUGUAAAGUGAAAUUUGUUACUAUUUAAACUCUGAGCAUUCCAUUGUACUAUUCGCAACUGAUCCAUGAAAACAAAAAAAAAAAGGAAAAAGUUGUAAUGAAUUACUUUUUAUGGAUAGUAUCCAUUAAGACAGUUUUAAUAAAUUCAGAGGAGAUAGA
rnacentral:lncRNA from 1 species